rnacentral:misc_RNA from 1 species
GAUGAAGAACGUAGCGAAAUGCGAUACGUAAUGUGAAUUGCAGAAUUCAGUGAAUCAUCGAGUCUUUGAACGCACAUUGCGCCCCCUGGUAUUCCGGGGGGCAUGCCUGUCCGAGCGUCAUUGCUGCCCUCAAGCACGGCUUGUGUGUUGGGCCUCCGCCCCCCGGCUCCCGGGGGGCGGGCCCGAAAGGCAGCGGCGGCACCGCGUCCGGUCCUCGAGCGUAUGGGGCUUCGUCACCCGCUCCGUAGGCCCGGCCGGUGCCCGCCGGCGACCCCCCUCAAUCUUUCCAGGUUGACCUCGGAUCAGGUAGGGAUACCCGCUGAACUUAAGCAUAUCAAUAAGCGGAGGA